AUUGAACGCUGGCGGAAUGCUUUACACAUGCAAGUCGAACGGUAGAGGGGGGCAACCCCCUUGAGAGUGGCGAACGGGUGAGUAAUAUAUCGGAACGUGCCCAGUCGUGGGGGAUAACGUAGCGAAAGUUACGCUAAUACCGCAUACGAUCUAAGGAUGAAAGCGGGGGACUCGCAAGAGCCUCGUGCGAUUGGAGCGGCCGAUAUCAGAUUAGGUAGUUGGUGGGGUAAAGGCUCACCAAGCCAACGAUCUGUAGCUGGUCUGAGAGGACGACCAGCCACACUGGAACUGAGACACGGUCCAGACUCCUACGGGAGGCAGCAGUGGGGAAUUUUUGGACAAUGGACGCUAAGCUGAUCCAGCCAUUCCGCGUGCAGGAUGAAGGCCCUCGGGUUGUAAACUGCUUUUGUACGGAACGAAAGGUUUCUAUUAAUACUAGGAGCUCAUGACGGUACCGUAAGAAUAAGCACCGG
rnacentral:rRNA from 1 species